AGCUUGAUGAUAAAUUUUGGUCCGUGUUUAUGAAUUUCGUUGAAUACCGUUCCAAUAACUGACUACU
rnacentral:snoRNA from 1 species